rnacentral:rRNA from 1 species
CCUACGGGAGGCAGCAGUGGGGAAUAUUGCACAAUGGGGGCAACCCUGAUGCCGCGACGCCGCGUGCGUGAAGAAGUAUCUCGGUACGUAAAGCUCUAGCAGCAGGGAAGAUAAGUACAGUACCUGAACAAGAUGCCCCGGCUAACUACGUGCCAGCCGCCGCGGUAAUACGGAGGGCGCAAUCGUUAUCCGGAUUUACUGGGUGGAAUGGGAGCGUAGACGGCAGCACAAGUCUGGAGUGAACUGCCGGGGCUUAACCCCGGAACUGCUUUGGAAACGGUGCGGCUGGAGUGCAGGAGGGGUAAGCGGAAUUCCUAGUGUAGCGGUGAAAUGCGUAGAUAUUAGGAGGAACACCGGUGGCGAAGGCGGCUUACUGGACUGUAACUGACGUUGAGGCUCGAAAGCGUGGGGAGCAAACAGGAUUAGAUACCCGUGUAGUC